rnacentral:sRNA from 1 species
AAAAUGGAGCGCUAGGGUUCCGGCUGUUUUAUAACGGUGACUGGUCCGAGAGCACUCGACCUUUCAGUGAAAGGUUACACGGCGGGAUAAAAGCCCGGGAGGA